rnacentral:lncRNA from 1 species
UUGAAUAUAAUGUUAACACACGUUGGCCUCGUAUUUACCUCAACACUAAACCCAUUAACCCACAGAUUCACUAUAACUUUGUUGGUGAGUCCAAUAUACAUAAUAUUUUACGACACAUCAUAUUCAUCCAUACAUAUGAUCGAUAUAGAAUCCUUGAAAAUAUUCUUGAAAAGUGAGAUACAUUUCUACAGAUUAGUAGUUCAGACAAUUUGGUAUUUUGUUUUGACUGGAAAUAAUCAAAAUCCAGUCGAAUUUAUAAAAUUGAUGGAAAAAUCGGAUAUUCUAUACUAAACAGUGUAGACAGCUAAGACAAACCUCUCCAAAGGUUUAAUUUGUCUCAUUGUCUGGCAUCGAAUAAACUUUCAAAAUCCUAUACAGAUGAUAUAUAUAGAUGCUUAAUUGUUUCUUUUAAAAAACUAAAAGAUCUAACGCGUAAUACACGUAAUAGCUACAAAGAUCAUCGACCUCGAAAUUUCAAGAUCAGUGGCAUGGAUUGCGCGUGUCUAUCAACUCAACGUUACUAAGAGAAUGCUUUUCCAAUUUCAGAAAAGUUCCUUUGUAACCCCCUUCACGCGGUUUCCGUCCCACACUACCCGUUUAAAGACUUUUGAAUCCAACAACCACCGUUCGCCACGGGUUCAUGAUCAGUGGCCCAGAUUAUGCUAUCAUUAACUUAGCUGUGUGGUC